rnacentral:rRNA from 1 species
GAUGAACGCUGGCGGCGUGCCUAAUACAUGCAAGUCGAACGCUGGAAAUCUAGCUUGCUAGAUUGAAGGAGUGGCGAACGGGUGAGUAAUACAUAAGCAACCUACCCACGAAGACUGGGAUAAUCUCUGGAAACGGGGACUAAUACCGGAUAGGUAAUCGGAAGGCAUCUUCUGAUUAUUAAAGGUUAAAAACACUGGUGGAUGGGCUUAUGGCGCAUUAGUUAGUUGGUGAGGUAACGGCCCACCAAGACGAUGAUGCGUAGCCGGCCUGAGAGGGUGAACGGCCACAUUGGGACUGAGACACGGCCCAGACUCCUACGGGAGGCAGCAGUAGGGAAUUUUCGGCGAUGGGGGAAACCCUGACCGAGCAACGCCGCGUGAGUGAUGACGGCCUUCGGGUUGUAAAGCUCUGUUGUAAGGGAAGAACGGUAGAUAGAGAAUAUCUAAAUGACGGUACCUUACCAGAAAGCCACGGCUAACUACGUG